AUUAGGGUGCAGUGGCAGUAUCAUAACCAAUGAAGUUAAUCUGAGGUGUGGUUAUUGCUAGUUGAAAACUUUCUAACUAUAAGGAUAAUUAAGUACAGGAAUAGGCCUCUAAGGGAGGUUGUGGAAUCCCCUCAUUGGA